rnacentral:tRNA from 13 species
GGCCCGGUAGCUCAGUUGGUAGAGCAGAGGAUUGAAAAUCCUUGUGUCGGCGGUUCGAUUCCGUCCCAGGCCACCA